GUCCUGUUGGUGUAUGGUGCACGCCGCCUUCAAUUAUAACUGACCUAGAAAUGUAUGGUGGAAGACCUCGUUCGAUUCGGGGACAGGACA